UACGUAGGGGGCAAGCGUUGUCCGGAAUCAUUGGGCGUAAAGAGCGUGUAGGCGGCCCGGUAAGUCCGCUGUGAAAGUCGAGGGCUCAACCCUCGAAUGCCGGCGGAUACUGUCGGGCUAGAGUCCGGAAGAGGCGAGUGGAAUUCCUGGUGUAGCGGUGAAAUGCGCAGAUAUCAGGAGGAACACCAGUGGCGAAGGCGGUGCUCUGGGCCGGAACUGACACUGAGGAGCGAAAGCGUGGGGAGCAAACAGG
rnacentral:rRNA from 1 species